rnacentral:rRNA from 1 species
AUGAAGGUGAUCGAGAAGAUCCAGGAGGCGGCGGCGAAUGGCCGGACCGUCUUCUCCUUCGAGUACUUCCCGCCCAAGACGGAGGAGGGCGUGGAGAACCUCUUCGAGCGGAUGGACCGCAUGGUGGCGCACGGCCCCAACUUCUGCGACAUCACCUGGGGCGCCGGCGGAUCCACCGCCGACGUCACCCUCGACAUCGCCAACCGCAUGCAGAACAUGGUAUGUGUGGAAACGAUGAUGCACUUGACAUGCACCAACAUGCCAGUGGAGAAGAUCGAUAAUGCUUUGGAUACCAUCAAGUCCAAUGGGAUUCAAAAUGUUCUGGCACUUCGAGGAGAUCCUCCACAUGGCCAGGACAAAUUUGUUCAAGUUGCUGGUGGAUUUUCUUGUGCUCUAGAUCUGGUGGAGCACAUUAAAGCCAAGUAUGGUGAUUACUUUGGCAUAACUGUCGCUGGCUAUCCAGAGGCACACCCUGAGGUAAUACUAGGCGAGGAAGGUGCUACGGAGGAAGCAUAUAGCAAAGAUCUUGCUUACUUGAAGAGAAAGGUUGAUGCUGGUGCUGACGUUAUAGUCACCCAGCUUUUCUAUGAUACCGAUAUCUUUCUCAAGUUUGUGAACGACUGCCGUCAGAUUGGUAUAACCUGCCCUAUCGUUCCUGGCAUAAUGCCAAUAAAUAACUACAAAGGAUUUGUGCGCAUGACUGGAUUCUGCAAAACUAAGAUUCCAGCUGAGAUUACUGCUGCCUUGGAUCCUAUUAAAGACAAUGAGGAGGCUGUGAAAGCAUAUGGAAUCCACCUUGGUACUGAGAUGUGCAAGAAAAUUUUGGCUAGUGGGAUCAAGACUUUGCACCUGUACACACUAAACAUGGAGAAGACUGCUUUAGCAAUUCUGAUGAAUCUUGGCUUAAUAGAGGAGUCCAAGCUUUCAAGAACAUUACCUUGGAGGCCACCAACUAAUGUUUUCCGUGUCAAAGAGGAUGUUCGCCCUAUAUUCUGGGCCAACAGACCAAAGAGUUACAUUUCAAGGACCACUGGUUGGGAUCAAUACCCACAUGGACGGUGGGGUGAUUCCAGGAACCCAUCAUACGGUGCACUUAAUGAUCACCAGUUCACACGGCCACGUGGACGUGGUAAGAAGCUCCAAGAGGAAUGGGCUGUUCCACUGAAAUCUGUGCAAGACAUUAAUGAGCGGUUCGUGAACUUCUGUGAAGGAAAACUUAAAAGCAGCCCAUGGUCUGAGUUAGAUGGUCUUCAACCCGAGACGACGAUAAUUGACGAUCAGCUGGUGAAGAUUAACUCAAAGGGUUUCCUUACCAUCAACAGCCAACCUGCUGUAAAUGCAGAGAAAUCUGAGUCUCCUAGUGUUGGAUGGGGCGGCCCAGGAGGCUAUGUUUACCAGAAGGCCUACGUCGAAUUCUUCUGCGCUAAGGAGAAGCUGGGCCAACUCAUCGAGAAGAGCAAGGCAUUCCCUUCCCUCACGUACAUCGCCGUGAACAAGGAAGGGGAAUCGAUCUCAAACAUCCCUGCGAACGCCGUGAAUGCUGUCACAUGGGGUGUGUUCCCCGGCAAGGAGAUCAUCCAGCCUACCGUCGUUGACUCAGCGAGCUUCAUGGUCUGGAAAGAUGAAGCGUUUGAGAUCUGGUCCAGGGGAUGGGCCUGCCUGUUCCCAGAGGGCGACUCGUCCAGGGAGUUGCUAGAGCAGAUUCAGAAGAGCUAUUACUUGGUCAGCCUCGUGGACAAUGACUACAUCAGCGGGGACCUCUUUGCUGCAUUCAAGGAGAUCUAA